rnacentral:rRNA from 1 species
CCUACGGGAGGCAGCAGUGAGGAAUAUUGGUCAAUGGGCGCGAGCCUGAACCAGCGAAGUAGCGUGAAGGAUGACUGCCCUACGGGUUGUAAACUUCUUUUAUAAAGGAAUAAAGUGAGGCACGUGUGCCUUUUUGUAUGUACUUUAUGAAUAAGGAUCGGCUAAGUCCGUGCCAGAAGCCGCGGGAAUACGGAGGAUCCGAGCGUUAUCCGGAUUUAUUGGGUUGAAAGGGAGCGUAGAUGGGUUGUUAAGGCCGUUGUGAAAGUUUGCGGCCCAACCGUAACAUUGCUAUUGAUACUGGCAGUCUUGAGUUCAGUUGAGGUAAGCGGAAUUCGAUGUGUAGCGGUGAAAUGCUUAGAUAUCACGAAGAACUCCGAUUGCGAAGGCAGCUUACUAAACUUCCACUGACAUUGAUGCUCGAAAGUGUGGGUAUCAAACAGGAUUAGAUACCCCGGUAGUC